rnacentral:lncRNA from 1 species
AUGAGAAGCAUCCAGCAGAUGGCACCAGCAUACUGGAAAACCUGUUUUAGGAUAAACCUGCGCCUAGGCUGUGCUUACCUGGAAGAAAGACAACUAGGACCAUACCAGGAAGAAAAACAACUUCUGAAUUUCACAAGCCCAGGUUAUCUGAGCCUCAGAAUAGUAUGUGAAUCCUGUCACAGAUUGGUCAUUCUCAAGAAAUCACAGCUUUGCAAGUGCUGAGGGGAAAAAUGUAUUUCUUUAGUGAAGCCACAAUAUAUGAAUCAAAAAUAUAGAGGAAAUACUUUAUUGUGUAAG